UUUCGCUGCCCGCGUGCCUAAUACUUGCAAGUCGACCGGACAGAUGGGAGCUUGCUCCCUGAUGUUAGCGGCGGACGGGUGAGUAACACGUGGGUAACCUGCCUGUAAGACUGGGAUAACUCCGGGAAACCGGGGCUAAUACCGGAUGGUUGUUUGAACCGCAUGGUUCAGACAUAAAAGGUGGCUUCGGCUACCACUUACAGAUGGACCCGCGGCGCAUUAGCUAGUUGGUGAGGUAACGGCUCACCAAGGCAACGAUGCGUAGCCGACCUGAGAGGGUGAUCGGCCACACUGGGACUGAGACACGGCCCAAACUCCUACGGGAGGCAGCAGUAGGGAAUCUUCCGCAAUGGACGAAAGUCUGACGGAGCAACGCCGCGUGAGUGAUGAAGGUUUUCGGAUCGUAAAGCUCUGUUGUUAGGGAAGAACAAGUGCCGUUCAAAUAGGGCGGCACCUUGACGGUACCUAACCAAAAAGCCACGGGUUAACUACGUGCCAGCACCCGCGGUAAUACGUAGGUGGCAAGCGUUGUCCGGAAUUAUUGGGCGUAAAGGGCUCGCA
rnacentral:rRNA from 1 species